UCCAACCUAGAAAAUUCUGUGAUUCUGUGAUAAUCAAGUGGAAGCUGAGUCUUUUAAUAAAGAAUACUGGAUAAACUUAACUACAGCUAUUUCUACGUACCCCCUCCUAUAAUAAGUGAACAGGUGGGCUAGUGCUAAGUAAUUCCAAAAAUCCUGUCUAGUAUAUUUGCAAUAAAAUGCCCUCCCACCUAGGCCUAGUGCCAGCUUUUCAGCUUCUGCUGACAGUUUCAGCUAUUUGCCGACAUGCAUUCAUAACUUUAUCACAUAGAUAGAGAUGUCCAUGUAUUUAUAUAAAUUAUAUAUUAAUUAUAUAUUUAAUGGCCAAUUUAGUU